GGUUCCUAAUAUUUAGCGGGUUUUGAGUUCCAGUAGGUAAUAGUAGUAGGUAAUAUGUAUUAUUAACUAAAAUAAUUUAUAAUGAAACUUUCCUAACAUAGAAAUAGUGUUGCGUAUGUAUUUAGUCUUGAUGGUUUCAAAAUGUAGUGGUACUGUAACUGAUCAAUUAUUUUCAAAAAUAAAAUAUAUAAUAAAAAAAAUAGUUCACGGACUUAGAUGAUCAGGG